rnacentral:rRNA from 1 species
AACGAACGCUGGCGGCAUGCCUAACACAUGCAAGUCGAACGAAACCUUCGGGUCUAGUGGCGCACGGGUGCGUAACGCGUGGGAACCUGCCCUUAGGUUCGGAAUAACUCCCCGAAAGGGGUGCUAAUACCGGAUAAUGUCUUCGGACCAAAGAUUUAUCGCAUUUGGAUGGGCCCGCGUUGGAUUAGCUAGUUGGUAGGGUAAAAGCCUACCAAGGCGACGAUCCAUAGCUGGUCUGAGAGGAUGAUCAGCCACACUGGGACUGAGACACGGCCCAGAAUCCUACGGGAUGCAGGAGUGGGGAAUAUUGGACAAUGGGCGAAAGCCCGAUCCAGCAAUGCCGCGUGAGUGAUGAAGGCAUUAGGGUUGUAAAGCUCUUUUACCCGGGAUGAUAAUGACAGUACCGGGAGAAUAAGCGACGGCUAACUCCGUG